ACUCUCGGCAACGGAUAUCUCGGCUCUCGCAUCGAUGAAGAACGUAGCAAAAUGCGAUACCUGGUGUGAAUUGCAGAAUCCCGCGAACCAUCGAGUUUUUGAACGCAAGUUGCGCCCGAAGCCUUCUGGCGGAGGGCACGUCUGCCUGGGCGUCACGCCAAAAGACACUCCCAACACCCCCCCGCGGGGCGAGGGACGUGGCGUCUGGCCCCCCGCGCCGCAGGGCGAGGUGGCCCGAAGCAGGGGCUGCCGGCGAACCGCGCCGAACGCAGCACGUGGUGGGCGACAUCAAGUUGUUCUCGGUGCAGUGUCCCGGCGCGCGGCCGGCCAUUCGGCCCUAAGGACCCAUCGAGCGACCGAGCUUGCCCUCGGACCGCGACCCCAGGUCAGUCGGGACUACCCGCUGAGUUUAAGCAUAUAAAUAAGCGGAGGAGAAGAAACUUACGAGGAUUCCCCUAGUAACGGUGAGCGAACCGGGAGCAGCCCAGCUUGAGAAUCGGGCGGCCUCGCCGCCCGAAUUGUAGUCUGGAGAGGCGUCCUCAGCGACGGACCGGGCCCAAGUUCUCUGGAAAGGGACGCCUGGGAGGGUGAGAGCCCCGUCCGGCCCGGACCCUGUCGCACCACGAGGCGCCGUCAACGAGUCGGGUUGUUUGGGAAUGCAGCCCAAAUCGGGCGGUAAACUCCGUCCAAGGCUAAAUACAGGCGAGAGACCGAUAGCGAACAAGUACCGUGAGGGAAAGAUGAAAAGGACUUUGAAAAGAGAGUCAAAGAGUGCUUGAAAUUGCCGGGAGGGAAGCGGAUGGGGGCUGGCGACGCGCACCGGCCGUAUGCGGAACGGCUCCUGCUGGUCCGCCGAUCGGCUCGGGGCGUGGACCGUUGUCGCCGGCGGCCAAAGCCCGGGGGCCCUAGGCGCCCCCGGCAGCCGUCGUCGGCACGGACGGUAUCCGCGCGCCUCUGGCGCGCCCCUCGGGGCGCUGCGCCGCAACGGCCUGCGAGCUCCCCAUCCGACCCGUCUUGAAACACGGACCAAGGAGUCUGACAUGCGUGCGAGUCGACGGGUUCAGAAACCUGAGAUGCGCAAGGAAGCUGACGAGCGGGAGGCCCUCACGAGCCGCACCGCUGGCCGGCCCUGAUCUUCUGUGAAGGGUUCGAGUUGGAGCACGCCUGUCGGGACCCGAAAGAUGGUGAACUAUGCUUGAGCGGGGUGAAGCCAGAGGAAACUCUGGUGGAGGCUCGAAGCGAUACUGACGUGCAAAUCGUUCGUCUGACUUGGGUAUAGGGGCGAAAGACUAAUCGAACCAUCUAGUAGCUGGUUCCCUCCGAAGUUUCCCUCAGGAUAGCUGGAGCCCACACGAGUUCUAUCGGGUAAAGCCAAUGAUUAGAGGCAUCGGGGGCGCAACGCCCUCGACCUAUUCUCAAACUUUAAAUAGGUAGGACGGCGCGGCUGCUUCGGUGAGCCGUGCCACGGAAUCGGGAGCUCCAAGUGGGCCAUUUUUGGUAAGCAGAACUGGCGAUGCGGGAUGAACCGGAAGCCGGGUUACGGUGCCAAACUGCGCGCUAACCUAGAACCCACAAAGGGUGUUGGUCGAUUAAGACAGCAGGACGGUGGUCAUGGAAGUCGAAAUCCGCUAAGGAGUGUGUAACAACUCACCUGCCGAAUCAACUAGCCCCGAAAAUGGAUGGCGCUGAAGCGCGCGACCCACACCCGGCCAUCUGGGCGAACGCCAUGCCCCGAUGAGUAGGGGGGCGCGGCGGCCGCUGCAAAACCCGGGGCGCGAGCCUGGGCGGAGCGGCCGUCGGUGCAGAUCUUGGUGGUAGUAGCAAAUAUUCAAAUGAGAACUUUGAAGGCCGAAGAGGAGAAAGGUUCCAUGUGAACGGCACUUGCACAUGGGUAAGCCGAUCCUAAGGGACGGGGUAACCCCGGCAGACAGCGCGAUCUCGCGUGUUGCCCGAAAGGGAAUCGGGUUAAGAUUUCCCGAGCCGGGACGUGGCGGUUGACGGCGACGUUAGGAAGUCCGGAGACGCCGGCGGGGGCCUCGGGAAGAGUUAUCUUUUCUGCUUAACGGCCUGCCAACCCUGGAAUCGGUUCAGCCGGAGGUAGGGUCCAGCGGUCGGAAGAGCACCGCACGUCGCGCGGUGUCCGGUGCGCCCCCGUCCGGCCCGGACCCUGCCGCACCACGAGGCGCCGUCAACGAGUCGGGUUGUUUGGGAAUGCAGCCCAAAUCGGGCGGUAAACUCCGUCCAAGGCUAAAUACAGGCGAGAGACCGAUAGCGAAC
rnacentral:rRNA from 1 species